rnacentral:rRNA from 1 species
GACGAACGCUGGCGGCGUGCUUAACACAUGCAAGUCGAACGGAAAGGCCCUGCUUUUGUGGGGUGCUCGAGUGGCGAACGGGUGAGUAACACGUGAGUAACCUGCCCUUGACUUUGGGAUAACUUCAGGAAACUGGGGCUAAUACCGGAUAGGAACUCCUGCUGCAUGGUGGGGGUUGGAAAGUUUCGGCGGUUGGGGAUGGACUCGCGGCUUAUCAGCUUGUUGGUGGGGUAGUGGCUUACCAAGGCUUUGACGGGUAGCCGGCCUGAGAGGGUGACCGGCCACAUUGGGACUGAGAUACGGCCCAGACUCCUACGGGAGGCAGCAGUGGGGAAUAUUGCACAAUGGGCGGAAGCCUGAUGCGGCAACGCCGCGUGCGGGAUGACGGCCUUCGGGUUGUAAACCGCUUUCGCCUGUGACGAAGCGUGAGUGACGGUAAUGGGUAAAGAAGCACCGGCUAACUACGUG